CACGUAGGGGGCAAGCGUUGUCCGGAUUUAUUGGGCGUAAAGAGCUCGUAGGUGGCUGAGUAAGUCGGAUGUUAAAUCCCCAGGCUCAACCUGGGACACCACCCGAUACUGCUCUGGCUAGAGUCCGGUAGGGGAGCGUGGAAUUCCUGGUGUAGCGGUGAAAUGCGCAGAUAUCGGGAGGAACACCAGCGGCGAAGGCGGCCACCUGGACGGAUACGUGACGCUGAGACGCGAAAGCGUGGGGAGCAACAGGAUUAAGAAACCCGGUGGU
rnacentral:rRNA from 1 species